CUUGAAACACGGACCAAGGAGUUUAUCGUGUACGCAAGUCAUUGGGUGAAUAAAACCCAAAGGCGAAAUGAAAGUAAAGAGUAAGGGUAUAUAAUUGAGGAUUUAUUCUCUUUUAUUACUCUCUUUAGGGAAGAUGAAAAUUUAAUUUAUAAUCUAAUUUAUUUAGAUUGUCUAUUAAUAUUUUUCGCAUUCCCAGGGCGCUUGUUUCACGCUUUGCGUGUCGAUGCGCACCCAGAGCGUACACGCUGAUACCCGAAAGAUGGUGAACUAUGCCUGGCCAGGACGAAGCCAGGGGAAACCCUGGUGGAGGUCCGCAGCGAUUCUGACGUGCAAAUCGAUCGUCGGAGCUGGGUAUAGGGGCGAAAGACCAAUCGAACCAUCUAGUAGCUGGUUCCCUUUGAAGUUUCCCUCAGGAUA
rnacentral:rRNA from 1 species